rnacentral:misc_RNA from 1 species
AAGGAGCAUCUGCACUGCGGUCUUCGGAUUGUCAGUGAAGGCCACGCGGUCGGCGAACGAUCGACCGGUGGAGCUCAAUAUUGUGGAUGCUGGCUAUAUGCAUGACCAUGGAUUGCUCGGGGAGUUAGUACUGCUGCUUGCAGCGUGGAAGGGUCUUCGAGGGGUUUGUGUGAGUGUUCGGUACGCUGUUGGGUCCUGAGAGAACACGUGAGUGUCUUUCAGUGAUCGGGCUGAUCCAGCCCACGAACCAGUCGGUCAAUGUGACCGGGUAGGCGUGGACAGAGAAGGAUCGGUGUCGGUUUGUUCUUUGAGAACUGCACAGUGGAUGCGAGCAUCUUUGU